UUAAAUGCGUUGAAUUAAAAUUACUUAAACAGCGCCUAUAUUCAGAAAUGAAUAUUAGCAAACCUCUCUAAUUCAUGGGAAACCUAAACAAGUAAUGUUGUAGGCAAUCAUGAGCGAAUCCUAGGAAUAGGAACGUGCAACGACUAUCGAAAACACACUAGACACUCGUUUGAGUGUCUUUUUUAGUGGAAGUGAGUAGAGUACAUUCAAGUGAAUGGAAAUGGGAGGCAACCUUAAAGGUUGAUGAUAUAGUCUAGUCUUCUAUGGAAACAUAGAG
rnacentral:ncRNA from 2 species